AACGAUGACGACGACGACGACGACGAUGACGACGACGACAACGACGACGACGACGAUGACGACGACGACGAGCACAAGCAUGCACAGCUCUGAUGAGCAAGAUAAGCAAAUCACGACAAUAUCCUCCUGGCACGAGCCGAAAGGCUCGCCGAAAAUCAGUCCCGGAACAGGUGACGACGGCAAGGUCAAGUCCACAGCGAUGUCGCGGCUACUAGCCGUCGAUUCCGACAACUACAUGCUACGCAAAGGCACCGCGACGAUGACGACGACGGCAACUAUUGGAGCCACGGCUUCACCUUCCGCUACCUCCUCGUCCUCGUGCCCGUCGUCAUCGUCAACGUUGAACGGUUCCGCGAGCGUGCAGAUGCAACGGCAGAUACAGAGCCUCGCUAUUGGAUCGACCAAUGUCCCGCCGAUCCUGGCGACGUACAGCAACGGCGGCGACCAUGUCGUCGGUCAAUUGUACGAUGUCGCGCGGGCGACAUCCAGAUCAGCGGCGACAUACGCAUCGUCCAGAUGGUAUACCGCCGGCAAUAAUAACCAAGCGACGAGGCAGCAUUGUGAAGGAGCGGCAGUGACGGUAGCGCAACUCGAGGAGCAGUCCUUACAGCAAUCGCAGCUACAAUCGCGUACAGCGACUACAACGACGACGACGACGACGACGCUUGCAGCGUCAGUAGACGGCUUCGAGAGCGAGCUCGGUUUCGCGAAGUUGGUGUGCGCGAGACCGGUGUCUUUUCAUCGGUAUUUGUGUUGGUGCGGCGUGCAGCAGCAGUCCGCCGUGGCGGAGGACAUCGACGCGAACUCGAUCGGUGGCGGUCGCACGAAGGGUGGCAGGGGCGCAGUUACUCAUGAGGGAGAGUUAGCCGCGAGACGAACGAUGCGCGAUGAUAGUAAUAGUAGUAAUAGUGGUAGUCUAUGCUGCUGCAUGUGCGGUUCUCUAUGUCCCGCAGAGUGCCACGCGUGCUUCCACAUCGUGUGCUCGGACUACAGCGGCCAGCAUCUGUGCCAAUGGACUACCAAGGGUCACGCGUUACCAGGCCAGGUUCACGACAAGAACAAGCCCGUCAGUGAAUGGACAUUAUUGAACGUAGUUGAAUGGAUGUCAGCCCUAAAUCUGUACCGCUAUGUGGACGUCUUUAAGUCGAAGGGCAUCACAGGCAGCGAUCUACUUCAUUUGGAUCAGGAGAAGCUCAUGAAUAUGGGUAUAAAAGAUGAAUUCCAUCAGAGAAACAUUUUGGUGUGCAUUGAGGAACUCUGUCAGCCAUCGCCGCCGCCGCCGCCACCGCCACCGGUGGCGACGGAGACGACGGGCCUGGCGUUCAACACAACGAUGCCAACGUCCGGCGUCACCGUUGAAUCGGGCUGUCCCCUCGGAAUCAACUAUCCGAACAACAACAUGACCAAUAACGCGCACAAUCUCAUACCGCACAGCUUCAGCGUUUUGGAGAAGUGUGGCAAAUGCCAUAAAUAUCUCAGGGGUCUCUUACAUCAGGGCUUUCUCUGCCAAGAUUGCGGGCUGGUCGCUCACAGGACGUGUUCAGCAACGGGUUUGCCUUCCAAUUGCAUAUCGGUCGACUCGGACAAUCGUAUCAGCAGGUUUGCUUCAGUGUUUGGCCUCGCGUUGUGCUCGCAAUUCGACACCGCCAGCCGCGCGGCACCGAUCCCGGUGGAGCGAUGCACCCGCGCCCUCGAGGAGCGAGCAUUCGCCGACACGACGCUGGACCUCUAUAAAGUCUACCACAGCAGCCCGCCUAAUGAGCAGACCCUUGAGCUGCGACAAAAGCUGAACGAAGAUGUUUGCAACGCGGACUUAGACCCGUACACUCCACAGUGCAUCGCGAGUGUUCUGAAGAAGUUUCUGCGAGAACUGCCAGAUCCAGUGAUACCCGUGCAAUUGUACGACAGAUUUCUCGAAGCGUCCAGUAUGAGAAACGAUGAGCAAUGCGCGACGCGCCUCAAUCAAUUAGUAGCAGAGUUACCGGAACAUCAUCGUAGCACACUGUGCCAUUUGAUGGCGCAUUUCUGUCGCAUCUGCCAAUUGCAGCACGGAAGGGGUUACACGGAACCACCGACCAUCCUCGUGCAAGUGCUCUGCCACAUAUUUCUCAGGCCGCCCUGGGAGCGAAUCAUCCAAGUUGUUCACAAUACGGAAGCACACAUACGCAUAAUGGAAUUGCUGUUGCUACAUGGCGAUUGGAAUGAAAGGUUGCCAGAGUUUGCCAGCCCUCCUCAAUUGCCCCCGCGUAAAGUUUCGAGACCACAGUUUCCAAUUUUGGAUCCAUUCCCGGCUCUCGAAGACGAAGCAGUAGACCGAACGGCACCUGGCGCAGAUACUGGAAAGGACCAACAACCGCACAGGCCACGCACGCUUCAAGAAGCCGAAUGGUAUUGGGGUGACAUCACGAGGGACGAAGUAAAUGAGAUGAUGAUUGACUCGCCGGAUGGUACUUUCUUGGUACGCAACGCGUCUUCUAAGGGCGGUGAAUACACCUUGACAUUGCGCAAAGGCGGGACCAACAAGCUCAUCAAGAUCAGCCAUCGAAACGGAAAGUACGGGUUCUCGGAUCCUUACAACUUCCACUCGGUCAUCGAAUUGGUUGAUUAUUAUAGGAACUGCUCGCUCGCGCAGUACAACUCCGUAUUGGACAUUAAAUUGCUCUACCCGGUGUCGCGAUUUCAGCAGGAUGAUGAGAUCGCAAAUACGACCGACAUGGCAAAGGUCGAGCAGAAGCACAAGGAGCUGGAGAAUGAAUUGAUUGAAACAAUUCGGCAAUAUCAAAACUAUUCCGAGAUGUAUACUAAAACGGCCUAUGAGGUGCAGCUGAAGCGUCAGGCGUUGGAAGCCUUCACAGAAGCCAUUAAAAUGUUCGAAGAACAAAUGAAAUUGCAAGAAAGGUUCCAGAAGGAAGCUCAACCUCAUGAAAUUUCCACCUUGACGGACAAUGCGGAACUGCUGAAACGAAGACUAAAGGCCUUAGAGGAGAGCAAGGAGAACUUGGACGAUAAUUUGAAGCAACAGAUUGCUUAUUACAGGACUCUUGAGAGAGAAAUGUGCAGACUGAAGGGUGAUAUUGCUAUGCUCAUGCGGCAGAGGGAACGUCAUUCUUUGUGGUUAAAGAAAAACGAGAUGAAGCAAAACAAAGAGGAGGUGGACUUUGCGGUCCAUUCCGACGAGAAAACGUGGCUAUACCUGCAAGGUUCUCGUCCUGAUGCCGAUCACAUUCUGAAAGGUCGGCCCGACGGUACCUUCCUCGUCCGUCGAUCAAGGACGGGCCAGUACGCCCUCUCCAUAGUGUGUAACGGCACCGUGCAGCAUUGUAUAAUAUAUGCCACUGAACGUGGUUUUGGUUUUGCUGAACCUUACAAUAUCCACGAGAGCCUGAAGCAUCUAGUGUUACAUUACGCUCAGAACUCCCUGGAGGAGCACAACGAAUGCUUGACGACUACUUUGGCCUAUCCUGCGUUUGCGCCGUCUGCAGAGUUAGCACAACUACAGGCCCAGCAGAAACAAUUGCAAAUUCACAAUCAGAACCAACCACCGUUCGCGCGACUUCUUCACGAGAAUCAACUCGUCAUGCCGCAUACGUAAUAUUGGUGUGUCGAGCGUCGCGAUCAAGAUCCGGUUCAGAUUGGGUUCAAAUACGUUCAUACACGCCUGCACAUCCACACGUGACUUUUGCUGCUACAGGCAUCAUUCGUCGAUGGAUGGAUCGAUCGAUCGCAUCAUACAAUCAUCCAUUUUAAUGAUGCUUUGAACACGUUCCGGCGAGAUAAAAUGCUUCUUUUUUGGGACGUUUCCUAAAACUGCGUACAAUAAUUAUGCACUCGUGUCAUAAUCAGGGAAAACAACGUAGCGUGAAUUGGCAUCGUGAAAACACGCGCAAUCGAUCGGUUACUUAAUCAUCAUCAAACGUGUGCAUUCUCGUGAGCAGCAUAUCGAGUCGAUUUUUCUCGCUGGGGUAAGUCUUGAUUCUCAAUGAUAAUAAUAAACGGAAAGACUAGGGACACAAUAAAAAUUAAGGACAAAGAGCGAAGAAGAAUAAAUAAAAUUAUCUUUGUAAAGAAAAACAAGUAUGAAAAAAAUGCAAAUAUGUAAAUGAAACAUGUAAUCGAACGAUGCUACAAUAAUUUUUAUCUUACGAAGACUGCUCUUGCGUCAGGAUCAGUUGGAAAUGAAAUAUGAGAGAAUCAGAAUGUCAAUAUAGGAAAUGUUUAUUCCUAUUAUCUGUUUUUCAUUCUUUAUCGUUCAGUUGUACAUGUAUCAUUCGUUGCCCUUUUUCUACCAUUAUAUUUAUUUUUUCCUUUUUAUCCUGAUGAUAUUUAUGUUGUGUCUUGAUAUGAUUUCCUAUUAAAUAAGAUGAGAAAAAUGUCCAAGUACAUUCCUGAGAAAUCUCACAUUUACAGAGCGGUCGGUAAAUGUAGAGAGUGUAACAGGAACGCAAUGAGAUUUUGCAUUGAGAUUGGUAGUUUUUCAAGUGUCUCCCGCGCCACUAUGAAGCAAAGAAACUGUUUAACGUAGGUGGUUAGCGUUUGAUCCAAAAGAGUAUAGUAAUGGCGAAUAAAUUGGAUAGCAGUCCAAGUGAAGCAUUUAUAAUGAAAACAAUAAACGCGAGCGAGCGAGGAAGAUCGACGAGGUGUGUUGUCCCUCUUUUCACCUUUUUUAAAAAAGAGCACAAAGCGACGAAUGCUGCGCUAGAUAGAUCUAA